rnacentral:rRNA from 1 species
UAGCAUAUCAAUAAGCGGAGGAAAAGAAACCAACAGGGAUUGCCCUAGUAACGGCGAGUGAAGCGGCAACAGCUCAAAUUUGAAAUCUGGCCUUCGGGUCCGAGUUGUAAUUUGUAGAGGAUGCUUUUGGCGCGGUGCCUUCCGAGUUCCCUGGAACGGGACGCCUUAGAGGGUGAGAGCCCCGUACGGUUGGACACCAAGCCUCUGUAAAGCUCCUUCGACGAGUCGAGUAGUUUGGGAAUGCUGCUCUAAAUGGGAGGUAAAUUUCUUCUAAAGCUAAAUAUUGGCCAGAGACCGAUAGCGCACAAGUAGAGUGAUCGAAAGAUGAAAAGCACUUUGAAAAGAGGGUUAAAUAGCACGUGAAAUUGUUGAAAGGGAAGCGUUUGCGACCAGACUUUUCCCUAGCGGAUCAUCCGGUGUUCUCACCGGUGCACUUCGCUAGGUUAAGGCCAGCAUCGGUUUCUGUAGGGGGAUAAAAGCUUGGGGAAUGUAGCUCCCUCGGGAGUGUUAUAGCCUCUUGUAUAAUACCCUUACGGGGACCGAGGACCGCGCUUUUGCAAGGAUGCUGGCGUAAUGGUUGUCAACGACCCGUCUUGAAACACGGACCAAGGAGUCGAACAUUUGUGCGAGUGUUUGGGUGUUAAACCCUCACGCGUAAUGAAAGUGAACGGAGGUGAGAGCCCUUACGGGUGCAUCAUCGACCGAUCCUGAUGUCUUCGGAUGGAUUUGAGUAAGAGCAUAACUGUUCGGACCCGAAAGAUGGUGAACUAUGCGUGGAUAGGGUGAAGCCAGAGGAAACUCUGGUGGAGGCUCGCAGCGGUUCUGACGUGCAAAUCGAUCGUCAAAUCUGCGCAUGGGGGCGAAAGACUUAUCGAACCAUCUAGUAGCUGGUUACCGCC